rnacentral:lncRNA from 1 species
AAACUUUAUUUUCUAUUUAUGAUUCUGCAUUGACGUGAAGAUUAUGUCAGGGUAAUACAGUAAAGUUAUGUCACUGUAUCUCAUGUAUCUAUUGGUUUUUUUUUUUAUAAGCAUGACUUUGCUUCCGACAUAGGAUUUUAGAACUUUGGGAUUGAAUAUACUCGGGGUAAGUACUUGUACGUGCAGUUUGUUUCAAUUACAAUCGAAUUGUAUAAUCUGUCAUUUUGAUUAAUAACAUAUUGUAGCAUAGUCAUUCAUGUCCUUUUUAAAUCCUUUAACAUUUAGCAAAACCCAUAACACAUCAAACGUCUUACAUGUAUAUGCAUUGAAACAAUUGACAUCUGUUAUACAUGAAAUAUUGUAAUAAUGUUGGUAUGAGUAUUAAUACCAGUAUAAUUUGUUUGAAAGCCCACUAUACCAAUAUACCUAGAAAAAAAGCCACGAGAAAACUACGCAUAAACAACGGACACUCAUAUAUAAGCAUGAUAGACAACAGCAGAAUAUACUUAGCCUUCAACAUUCAAUAUUCAUGGUUUGGGAUGAAAAAACGAUAACAGAUAAGCGACAGUAAAAUGAGUAAAGAAGAGUUACAUUCACUGUUAUUUUUGUUGAAAUAUUGAUGACGUCGACAAUUCCAAUUUUGAUUUUAUUAAAUGGAGAUUCUGAUAAACUACAAAAUUGUUGUUCAAAUUUGAAUAAUUUAAAAUCUUUUAUUUUCACGCAGUGCCUUCCCUUGAUAUGAUCACAAAACUGGUAGGAAGAAAGAUGAUUAUGAUUUUCAAACUGAGUUUCCAUUAUAUGAUGAGCAAAAAAAAGUAAGUAAAAGAUUUAAUAAUAACGACAAUAUAAUACGAAACAAUAAUAAUUAUUGCAUUGAAUUGGGAUUUUAAAAUCAAUGCAUAAUUAUUCGGAUAAUAUCAUACCUUGCUUGAAAAAAGCAAUGAAAAAGUUAAGAUAUUUUUCUUGCAGGUAUAGUAAAUACGUGCAACGUUAUGUUCAGCAGAAAUAAUAAAAGCAUAAUAAAUUUUCCUAUAUUCGGUUUACAGAGCGACAUAGUUGAUAUACUGUGACUGCAUCUGGUACGACAUGAUGUAGACCUGGAUGUACGUUUAAACUUGUUGUGGUUGGUUGCAAAAAUGAACGUAGGCUAUGUUUUUUUUUUUUUUUAUUAAGUAAUUUUCAUUUUCUCUUUUUUGAUAAUCAGUAAAAGUAAUAAAUGAUAUUUUGUUUUGGUACCGACUUUUUAUGUUAAAAUAGCAGGUUCGUCCUUCAGGCUCACAAUAUUAUUUACCGAUAGCAUAUAUUCAUUAUCUAUAUAUAACGGAUGCCAAUAAAAGUAUCAUACAUACAGGGACUUUCUCAUUCUCCAUAUCAUCGUAUUUGUAUCUACCAUAAUCAACAUGAUGCGUUAACUGAUAUCUACCUUUGCCGCUUUUUUUUUUACAAAAAAUAAGAAUAGAUUAUAAUAACAAUUUGUCUUCACUUCUUAGAUGUAGACUAAUGUAAAUGUACCUUCCGUCUCUUUUUCAGCGGUUCACCGACAACUAAUCAUAGAGGGAAUGUGAGACAGGUUACAUCAUUAUGUUAGAAAACAUCCCCAUACCAUCUAUUCGACAAUCAAAUA